rnacentral:rRNA from 1 species
CUUAAAACCCAAAGGACUUGACGGUGCCCCAUCCAACUAGAGGAGCCUGUUCUAUAAUUGAUAAUCCCCGCUUUACCUUACCACUACUAGUCCAUCAGCCUGUAUACCUCCGUCGCAAGCUUACCAUGUGAACGUCAGACAGUAAGCUCAAUGAA